rnacentral:rRNA from 1 species
CAAGCGACUGUUUACCAAAAACAUAGGUUUCUGCUAAGUCGCAAGACGAUGUAUAGGAGCUGACGCCUGCCCGGUGCUGGAAGGUUAAGGGGAUCUGUUAGAGCAAUCGAAGCAGUGAACUUAAGACCCAGUAAACGCUGGCCGUAACUGUACCGGUCCUGAGGCAGGUAAAUUCUUCGUCGGGUAAGUUCCGACCCGAACGGAAGGCGUAACGAUUUGGGCACUGUCUCAACAACAGACUCGGGGAAAUUGUAAUUCCGGUGAAGAUGCCGGAUACCUGCGACAGGACGGAACGACCCCAUGGAGCUUUACUGUAGCUUGACAUUGGGUCUUGGUACUACAUGUACAGGAUAGGUGGGAGGCUUUGAAACC